UACAGAGGGUGCAAACGUUGUUCGGAAUUACUGGGCGUAAAGCGUGCGUAGGCGGUCUCGUAAGUCAGGUGUGAAAUCCCAAGGCUCAACCAUGGAAGUGCACUUGAUACUGCGAGGCUUGAGUACUGGAGAGGUUGGUGGAAUUCUUGGUGUAGAGGUGAAAUUCGUAGAUAUCAAGAGGAACACCGGUGGCGAAGGCGGCCAACUGGACAGAUACUGACGCUGAGGCACGAAAGCGCGGGGAGCAAACAGG
rnacentral:rRNA from 1 species